rnacentral:misc_RNA from 1 species
GCAGGCGAUAAAGCCUGCUGCUGCCUUUCCGUGCCCUAUCACCCAACCACCCACACAUUCAUACUCUUCAGUGUGAGCGUGCGUCAGCUUCCGCCGCUGCAAAGAGCAGCAACUGCAGCAGACACAACAGGCUCACAAGAAAGCCCCACCUAAUGAACAGCUGGACAGCUGCUUGCACGCAAAGAGAUGCACAAUGGCAACGGAAAUGGCGGGUUUGCAUGGCGGCAGCAGCAGGCCAUGUACUCGUGCCGCCAGAACCCAUAUGAUGGGGGCCACCCGGGCGCGAGCAUUAUGGCUCUGGGUCAGCAGCAACAACUUCAGUACUAUCAACAGCAACGGAUGCAAGGCAUGUGGAAUCCGGGCGCGAAUCAGAUGUACCCUGGCGUCGAAUCCCACAUGCAAAACGGCAACUUUAUGAUGCAGCAGCGCCACUACUUUGUUCAUGGUGGAGACGGCAUGCGUCAGUACCACCAGCACCAGCGGCAGUUUGGGCGUGACGACAAUGUGAGCCCGAAUGUGCCGCAGCGAGAAGGCUUGGCGGAGUCGCGCCCUGGCCGAACACCAUGCAACAGCAGCUGGUGGUCGUACGUAUUGUCACACAUGCGUUUGGUCGAUAGCCCGCGCGGCAUCGACCUUGACGUCGAGGACGAGAACGCAAACGUGAUGGAGGAACUGAGGCAGACAGGAUCGAAGGCGUGGACAGGGGUGAGCAAUGGCACAGAAGCGGCAGCGCCGGCAUUCGUGGGCGCUUUCGAGAGUGCCGAAGGGGCGGGCAAAGUUCCGGAGCUUAUCCCUACCCCAACUUUGGCCCUCAGCCCUGCAGUAGCCGCCGGCGGAGAGGAGCGGAAGAGCGCAGAGGGAGACGGUAUGCAGGUGUCCAACCCAUAUCGGUCGAAUGCGCACCCGCAGCAACACCCGGGGCAGGCGCAAGCAUCCCUGCAGUCUAGAACGAACGGUGUGCUGCCGCCGCGACAACAGAAGCCGCAGCAGCACCUCUCGGGCGACCACAGUGCUGUCGCAGGCAGCCUCGGCCAGCAGGCGGUAGACGAUGCUGAGGGAGAGGAGGGGGAGCACGGGGCCGGCAAGCAGUCUCAAAGCGCGCAGCCACGCAGCGCCGACAGCGAUGACAGUGCCGGCGGUAUGGCAGGGGCUCAACCGGCGCUGCGCAAAUGCCAGUCAGAGAGCGAUUCCCGCGCCGGAGGUGCGCAGCAGGAGCAGGGGACGGUGGCGCUGAGGCCCAUGCACACUCCCCGCUCUGGCAUCGGGGAGCAUCAAGAGCCGCAGGCGGCAUUUGAGUCUGCUCAUGACUUUUUUUGCCGCGGUAAUCGCUACUCUUACAUGGGUGGUCACAAUGAAGCGGACGAAGAUGAGGACAAGGACGACGGUGGAUGCAACAACUCUGAUGAGUACAGUGGCGACAGCGACAGCGACGGCAGUGGCGGUAGCUCCUCCUCCGGCUUCGACAGCGACAGCGAGCGGAGCGACACCGACGACGAAGCCGAGUACAGCGCAAUGAAGCGCAACUCGCAGAGCGCCUUUGGAGGGCAGAGCUCCUUGGAGUACAGCACAUUUCACGACGCGUUGGCGGCGGACGCAUGCAAUGCCAUUUCUCCUUCAGCAAAUCAUGCGGCGGGUCGCCACAGCAUUGGCGGCUUCCUCGGCGCAGGCGUGAGUGGCCGAUUUCCGUACGCGGAAGCGUCGACGUCGAACUUGCCGAGUGAUGCGCCGUUAAUCGGCGCACUGGGCCAGCCACACCACACAACCGCGACGAAUGCGAGCAUCCGCGACGUUGCCAUGACCUCCUUCAGUCUAUGCCACUCUGUGACCCACGUCCCGCCGGCUAAUGCCGUCUUCGCUGCCGGCAGCAGCGCCACUGUGCAAAGCAACUCAGCCGCCGCAGCAGCGGGCAUGGAGGACUCGGACAGGCACGGCUACGAGACUGGAAUUCUGAUGACGGCAGAGACAGUCCUCGAGCAUACAAACCGGACGGGCCCCGUGGGCGCGGGCGCCGCUGAAGGGGUGCCCUCUCCCCGCACGAGCACCCCACCCAGCACGGCCACAACGCUUACAGGCACGAAGGUCAUCCCACCGGCCGCCACAAAGAAGAAAGAAGAGGCGCCAGCGCUGCCCAGACAGGUGGCGCGGAGACGCACGUCAGUUUCACAUUCUAUGGAAACACUCGCAGCCCGCAGUGGCACUAGCGCCAACAAAGAUUCCUCGAAGACUGCGGCAACGCCAUUGCCCGGAGUGCACCACAGCAGCAAACCGGAGCGUCUCAAGAGCGGUGCCGCGACGGCAGAGCUCCAGCCGAGGAAGCGCACGUCGAAGAGCUCUGAUAGCAGAAAGGCGGCUAGUUCCACGGACAAGGAUGAGAGCCCCCUUCCUGUGCCUUCGAAUCUUCAGCGUACCGCUUCGGUAAAGAACAAGAAGACGGCAAGAGUGGCGCCGCCGGCCACAGGGGUCGCGUUGGCCACCGCGACGAAGGGCGACGCUGCGCAUGGCAUGGCUAACGCAGCGACGGCGACCACGGCGUCAGAACGCGCGGCCGCCACUGUUGCAACCACCACACCGACGGCAUUCAAGGCCCCGCAAGCCCCGCUGCUCCCCACGACCAGCACUCAGCACGUGCUUGGUAAACUGGCGAACUCCCUGAGAUCUGUACAAGCACCGAAGUCGCACGGCAAGCAAAAAGCGGCUCCUCCACGGAUCGACAAGGUCAAGGCGGCUGCGAUGGCCGUCACGAAUCAGCCGUCAGCAAAGUCUCACCAAACUCCGUCGGCAGCAACGUCUACCGUGGCCCCAUACUUCGCAACUGGUCCGCCACUCCCUGCCAAUGCCGGCAGUGCGGCGUGGGCCACCGCCGCUGAUGCUUCUGUGGCGGAGCCAAAGCCUGUAGCGCAGCCCCCCGCGGCCCUCCUUCGCAGGUCUCCCGCCUCGUCCUAUCCGGCCGGCGGUGCACCCGUGCCCGAAGCAUCUCCGACACCCGCAGUCGCCGCACGCUCGUUGUCCGCCGUCAGUGGCAAGGUGCCGGCUGGCUCGGAGAGCAUCACAGCAACAGAAAAGACGGCCUCUGCGUCUCCAUUUGACGGCACUCUGUCAGGCAUCGGGUUACGUGGCGAUCGUCUUCACGGAGCGGUCGCGCCGUCGCUGCGUAUUAACCUCUUUCAAUCCCCACAACCCCGGCCACCGGCACCGCUGUCGCAGAUUGCUGGAGAGGCAGCAGGGAACCCGCCGUCCAGCGCAGCGGCUGCUAGUGUAGCCGUCGCCCAUCAUCGCCUGCAGCCACAGCGGCCCAGCAAUGGCUCAUUGAGAGAAUUAAGCACUGCGAGGAAUGCGCUGGGAAAGAAGGGCAAUGCGGCGGUAGCACCAGCAACGCCGCCGAACGAUGCCGCAGCGUCGGUACCUGAGUUAUCCGUCACUGCUGGUGCCCCAAAGAGCCUCAGCACUGAGCUACUGAGCAGCAUCGCGCCUGCAAAGCCGACCAGCGCCACCGAGACCGCAGCAGUGCCACCGCCUGCACGUGAUGCAACGGCCGGUGUAACGACAAGCUCCCCAUCCAUGGCAACAGGCACCAGCAUUGCCACCGCUACAGUGAAAAGCCUGGCAACGCUGUCAGCGGCGAAGACUUCGCUCAGCAUGGCCAGCACCGCAGCCGCGAAGCCAUCUUCGAACGGUGUGAUCAAGACCUCUCUAGUAAGCGCCUCUGGGAACACGCGGAAGCAUUCCUUCCCGACGUCUCCCGGAUCGAACAGCAGUGCCGCCGCCUCGAUUUCAAGGGGCAGGCCGCCGCCCCUGUCGGCGCUGGUCUCGAUGAAGAAGUCCAAGGCUAUCACCACAGCGACGGCGGCACCGCUAGUCGCAUCGGUGCCUGUGAGUCGAGCCAGCAGCAUCCCUUCCCAUCACAAUAGCCAGAAGUCGAUUACGAACGGCAAUGACGGCGACGCGUGGCUGGAUGACCCUUACUACUACGGCUACGGUGAGGCAGACCUACCGGACUGGAAGAACUACUCCGCCGUGAAGCCGUCGCCGCGAAAGGCGCCGGCUGGCAAUCACGUCACGCACAAAUACUCGAUGGUAGGUAGCCUAGCCGUGUCCCCACUCAACGCCUCUAGUACAGUGUGCAAGACCGAUGCAGCCAGCGGUGCUGGGGCAAGGCUGCGGCCAUUGGGCGACGCCGACAUGCUGGAGGAGAUGGGGUACAUGUACCACUUGUAGCCAUGGUAAGACGAGAGGGAUGGAAGGCAAGUAGCGACGCGAAAGAUGCACACCAAGUAAAGGAGAGGUCGAGGUGCUCGCGGCACGGCACAGAAAACAGGGACGGCAUGUGCCGCGCGGGUGUGGAUGCUUGAAAAGAGAGAAGGGGAGGGGAGGUCGCGGAAUGUGUUCUGCAACGGCGUCGCUCUCUCUCUUAUCUCUGGCCACCUUCACUGAGUAGGCCUGCCCAUCUCCCAGCCUACCCACCCGCCUACUCCCUCUCCUUCUGGUCCCCUUACUAUUCUCUGUUUAUCUGGCUAGUCUACGCGAUGCGCACCUGCGUCUUACCACGCCUUUUUUCUCGACGGCCUUUUUACGGUCACCGACGCGCCUCCCUCAACCUCAGUGCAGUUCGCAGCCUCUCCACUCCCUUCUUACCGCCGCCGCCACGUUUCUUUUUCUUCUCCCUCUCCAAGACGCUGCGGCCGGCGUAGUAAUCUAUUGCUCCUGCUGCUAUCCAGCCCUUCCAUGCCACCCUCUUCCUUCUCGUCCGCGUUUUGCUCCCGUGAGUGCGCAUUGUUACUUUUCAGUACACCCUCUCUUCUUUACAUGUCGUAUGUGCCUGUGGGAAUACUCUUCGCUUCCUGUUGUCCUCCUUCGUUGUACAUAUAUAUAUAUAUAUAUAUAUGUGUGUGUGUGUGUGUAUGCCGCUCCCUUCUCUCUCGCAAUGUGCUUACUCUCUUCUUAUUAGCCCCCCCCCCUUGCUUGGGUAUGUGUACAUACAUAUCUGCAUAUAUUUAUAUAUUUAUAUAUAUAUAUAUAUAUGUGCGUGGGUGUUGUAUGCAUAUAUAUAUAUAUGUAUGUAUACCUGUUAUGCUCAUGUGCUCACCGCUUUUGUCGUCCUCUUCAUCGAUGCGAAGCGGCAGACGGGGAAAGGGUAAGGACAGUAAAAGAGCAAAAGGAGGGAAGAGAGGGUGGGUGGGAGAUUCAGCACCGCGGUACGCAGCAGGGCUACACGGAGCCACACAGACACAGAUACCGGCAGUCAGGUAUGCAAAGCGAGCGAGGGGAUGGGAGGGCAGAUCGGAUUUGGUGCCCCUCCCCUACCCCACGCGAUGCUCUGGUACACACUCUCUUGUCCCCUUAGUACCCCUCUCUUCCUCUCGGCCAGCCCUGUCCACGUCGAUCGCCACACCCCAUAAAGUUGCGGCAUGUACGCUCCUCCUUCUUCACCUCUCUGCGCUAAUGGCAAGCCCCGUCCCCGCCUCGUUCCAUCCUCAUCUUCUUUCCUGCUCCGCUUCGCUCUCUUUGUGUUGCCUGAUGCCGUGUUGGCGCGGCUUGUUCUCUCUGUGGUUUGCUCUGUCUUGUUUGUGCUACUCAUAGUUUCCUCGGGGGAGGGGUGUUGCCGCUGUGAUGUUGUUUUCAACGUUUACACCGAUAGCGACGGUGCUUCUGAGCUCGUGAGUCGAAGAUGUAUCUUCCUCUCUCACCUGCAAGGGCCCGUAGCUGUAUAUCAGUCUGAGUGUGCGCGCGUUUUUCUUUUCUACUGUGUGUACGCGGCUUGUCUUCGGAGUCCAGAAACGAACGCGGAUGGAUAAAGAUAUAUAUGCAUAGGCAACUGUGGCAACAGUCACCGACAUGCACGCAUGAAAAUGUAAAGUAGCUUGCAUGUGUGUGUGUGUGUGUGUGUGUCGUACCUUUCUUUCCUUUCAUCGUGUGUGUGUGUGUGUGUGUGUGCCCUCUUGUCUGUUCCUGUAUUCAUCCAUAAUGAUUGAAAAAUUGAAUGAAGGCAGCUUCUCCUCUCGCACAUAGGUGUAUCCUCAGUGUCACGCCCACUUACUUCCUCGCGUAUGUGCUCUCCCCACAUGUCCAGACACACGGCUGUAGCGCCCCCCUCCCCAUCUUGCCUGAGCAGGCUCUCUGUUGUAUGCUUUAUGUGCUCCCUUUUCCCUUUUUUCUUCGACCUGCGUGCGUGCUCAUCUUCUUUUUUGUUUUUGGUUUAUUUUCGAUCGUUUCUCUCCUCAUCACCAACCUGUAGCGCAUCAUCCUCACCGUCUCCCAUGCACACCCUUUUUUCCCCUCUCUCAUUCGCCCCUUCGCGACUGCCAUGAGGCGUCGUCAUCAUCGUCUCCCUCCCCCUCCCACGCACAGGCAUAGGCACAGACCGAAAAAGCCUCUAUCCUUUUCCUUAUUUUGUGUGUGUGUGUGUGUGUGUGUGUUCUGGGACUCGCAUUGGUUUUCUGUUUUUUCUUUGUUGUUCUUCUCGGCGACUUCCUUCCUUGUUCUCUCGUCGAUGUCAUCUUCAUAGUCUUUUCGCUUAUGUCUAUAUAUGUCUAUAUCUAUGCGUGUGUGUGUGUGUGUGUGUGCUGUGGCGGUUUCACGUAUUCGCCUCCUUUUUGAGUUUCUGCUUCGCAAACCUCCCCUACGCGCUGUGUGAUUCUCGGAGGGUGAUGUGCUCAAGGCAAAACACGCACACACAUGGGUCUGUCUUUGUGAAGGGUUAGGUGCGUCUCUGCCAGCUGUGGUUUGGCAUCGACAUGGUUGUGGUGAUAUCUCCUUGUAGCCUCCCUCCUUCCUUUCGUUGGUAAGGUUGCCGUUGUUCUCGACGGAGCCGCGUUGCCCUCUCAGGCGGCGUCUCUGUGCUGCUCCUUCUUCCUUCCCUGUGUGUGUGUGUGUGUGUGUGUGUUGCUUUUUGCUGUGGUGCUCCUCGCUCUCAUCCUCUCCUACCCGCGCCCACACCCAUACCAAAGUCUGUCCCUGCUGACGGGAAGGGGGGCCGCGCACACCUCAGCACGCAGCAUUCUCAGUGUCCAGUGCCCCACUCAUACUGUCUGCGGAGAAGCCAGGCAAGCCUCCCUAUCCCCUGCCCAUGCCAAAACACUUCCGCUGGCGACAGGGCCAGGCACCCGCGACGUGGGGAGGCCAAGGCGAUGUAUCGCUGCUGACGUCGGCGCUCAGGUCCUGGACGGUGUUGCGCCGUAGCGACCUGCGACAGUGCACGUGCUUGCAGUACGCAUAUGGUAGGCAGAGUGUCAGCGUGACGCGAGCGCAUAUCCCACGCACCCCUGGCCCUCGCUGCUGUCUGCAGAGGUGUGGGGGGCCUGAGCGCCCCUCCCCCCCCUCCGAGGGGAAUGCACCAGGUGGCGACCAGCAUCGUGUGCGCGCGGGGAGAGUUUUGUGCAGAGGCCGUGCUCUCAGAUGGCUGGGUCGGCGCACUGCUACAACGCCUGUGUCUACGGCAUGCUUCGCACCACGCGGAUGAGGCCUGUGGCAGGGGCCGAGGGACGUAUGGCCUCGUGCUGUAUGGCAGAGCAACGCACUCUUGUUGGCAGGAAAGGAGGACGAAGAAGAGCGACCUCACCAGCGUUGGUUGUUUGUGUCGACACAUCUGUUUCACUGCGCAAAGGACGAACAAGACAAAUCCGCAAAACAACGGCAGCGAAGCAAGACACGG